rnacentral:rRNA from 1 species
AUUGAACGCUGGCGGCAGGCUUAACACAUGCAAGUCGAGCGGGGGAGGUUGCUUCGGUAACUGACCUAGCGGCGGACGGGUGAGUAAUGCUUAGGAAUCUGCCUAUUAGUGGGGGACAACAUCUCGAAAGGGAUGCUAAUAACGCAUACGUUCUACGGGAGAAAGCAGGGGACCUUCGGGCCUUGGGCUAAUAGAUGAGCCUAAGUCGGAUUAGCUAGUUGGUGGGGUAAAGGCCUACCAAGGCGACGAUCUGUAGCGGGUCUGAGAGGAUGAUCCGCCACACUGGGACUGAGACACGGCCCAGACUCCUACGGGAGGCAGCAGUGGGGAAUAUUGGACAAUGGGGGGAACCCUGAUCCAGCCAUGCCGCGUGUGUGAAGAAGGCCUUUUGGUUGUAAAGCACUUUAAGCGAGGAGGAGGCUACUGAGACUAAUACUCUUGGAUAGUGGACGUUACUCGCAGAAUAAGCACCGGCUAACUCUGUGCCAGCCGCCGCCGUAAAAC